GCUGAGUUAAGCCCUCAGUCAGUAGAGCAUGAGACUCUUAAACUCAGGCCAGGUUUUGGGUUCGAGCCCCACAUUGGGCA